GUGUACGCGGACUGCACACUCGUUGAACGUUGCAGGGCAACAGUUCUGAUCCCCAGCAAGUGGUAUACAAGUCGUACCUUGGAAGUCAAAUGGAAUCCGUUCAGGAAGUCCGUUCGACUUCCAAAACAUUUGAAAACCAAAUUGCGGCUUCUGAUUGGCUGUACAAAGUGCCUGCAGCCAAUCGGAAGCCACGGAAGCACCGUCGCACGUUCAGGUUCCAAAAGAACGCCAGAAACCAGAACAAUCACUUCUGGGUUUGCGCCGUUUGGGAGCCAAAACAUCCGAGUUCCAGGGCGUUCGGGAUCCCAGGUACAACUGUACUGCCUCUGACAGUGGAGAAAUUGUUGUUGUGCCAUGUGUUGUUGUGUGGUGGUUGUUUUAUGAAUUGCUUCCAAUACAACUGCCUCCAGGCAAUGUACAAUAAACAUGGCAACAACAAAAGCAGUUAAAAAACACAAAAACCAGCAGACGCAUUUAAAAACAAAACAAAACAAAUAUUUGAUAUUUUUAUUUGUAUGUUUUUAGUUGUAUCUCAGCACCGGGAGAAAGGUGGGAUGUUAAGUAAAUCAAUAAAUAGGGCACUCAUGGCAGAGACCCCAUUAAUCCAGCUGGAAAUACCCAGCAGAACAAAAGAAAAGUGUCUGCAUUUGUUUCUGGAAAUUACUGAUAGUGGGUAGCCCCUGAUAGCUUUAUCCUCCAUGAAUUGGUCUAAUCCUCUUUUGAAGCCAUUCAAUGUGAACCCCCCUCCUUCAGUGAAUUGGGAAAGGCAGAGGGUGGAGCUGCUGUUUGUUUUCCAGAAAUACUCAAUCACUCCCAAGACCUCAGCAUUUAUGAAUCCCCUGCAGGUGUCUCGUGAACCCCCAGGGGGAACCUAAGCUUUGCACAGAACUCUCUCUGGGCAUGGACUAGGUAACGAGGCACCCUCUGGUGGCUGCCUACAAAAAGGUUCUGCUCUGAUUAAGUCCUAUGGGUGGCUGGGGAGAACCUAUCAAAGCAGCAAGAAGAGUUGAGAUCUAAUCUCUGGCAGAGCUGACCUUACAAUCAGGACUCCCCACCUCCCACCCCCAGCACUCCACACACAGCAGUUGUUAUUAUCCAAGGGCGUCCAGGCCACAUUGUGCAUAGGAGCUGAUGGCUCAGCUCUCGUUUGCUCCUUUUUUGCAUGCUGUCUCCAUCACACGGGACACUGGUGGUGCUGUGGGUUAAACCACAGAGCCUAGAACUUGCCGAUCAGAAGGUCGGUGGUUCGAAUCCCCAUGACGGGGUUGAGCACCUGUUGUUCGGUCCCAACUCCUGCCCAUCUAGCAGUUUGAAAGCACGUCAAAGUGCAAGUAGAUAAAUAGGUACCGCUCUGGCGGGAAGGUAAACAGCGUUUCCGUGCGCUGCUCUGGUUCGCCAGAAGCAGCUUAGUCAUGCUGGCCACAUGACCCGGAAGCUGUACGCCGGCUCCCUCGGCCAGUAAAGCGAGAUGAGCACUGCAACCCCAGAGUUGGCCACGACUGGACCUAAUGGUCAGGGGUCCCUUUACCUUUUACUCCAUCACAAGCCUAAAGAUCCAGGUGGCAAACUGCAUGGUCUGCCUUCAGCUAACAGGUUUUAGAGUUCAUCAUCCAAUUCCCUAGAGCAGGGAGGUUCAACUUUUCACGCCAAGUGAGCCACAAGGCUACUUUGACACAGAACCCGGGGCCGCACAUAGCCCUGUCAUGCACAGGGUGGGGUGGGGAGCGAGGCCAGAAUUUGACGUCCCUCCCCAGCCCUUGCGCUGCAUUCCCAAAGGCGCGUAAGUGAGGCUCCAGGCCUUGGGAAGGAGGCACCAGGCUCUGGCAGGGUCCUAGAGCUCUCCCACCUUCUUCUCAAGCACUAACUAGGCUUUGAGAAGGAGGCAGGAGGACUCUAGUUGUCAUAAGGGAGAAGAUAUCACCCACCUGUAAAAAGAUGCCUGCAUGGAGUAAAGUAGUACACCUAGGGGAAAGUUUAAGGUCGGCUACAUUAUUACCCCGCCCAUCUGGCUGGGUUUUCCCAGCCACUCUGGGCGGCUUCCAACAAAACACUAAAAUACAAUAACCUAUUAAACAUUAAAAGCUUCCUGAUACAGGGCUGCCUUCAGAUGUCUUCUACAAGUUUGGUAAUUAUUUUUCUCCUUGACAUCUGGUGGGAGGGCAUUCCAGAGGGCGGGUGCCACUACCGAGAAGGCCCUCUGCCUGGUUCCCUGUAACUUAGCUUCUAAAGUGCUGCAGUCCAGCAUUCUGCUACCUUACUGGGUAUUAUGUAUAAUGGGCGGAAGGGCCAUAGCUCAGUAUCUGCCUUGUAUGCAUCCCUGCAUUGCAGGGGAUUGGACUAGAUGACCCUCAAGGUCCCUUCCAAGUCUACAAUUGUCUGAUUUACUGCAGAUUCCAGGUUGACUCCCUGACAUCUCCAGGUAGAGAGACUCUUCAUCGGUAACCCUGGAGAGCUGCUGCCAGUCAACCCAUUGAGUCUCUUUUUUUUGGAAAUAUAAUAAUAUAUUAUAAGAUAUUAUGAUAUAAUAAUAGCAAUAACCUUGGAGAUUGCAGCAAACAUGCUCGUCAGUAUAAAGAGAGUUUUAUGUAUACCUACCUAGAAGCUGCGGUGGCUUCCUGCAUUAUUUCAAAGCGGAGCGGAAUGGGAAUAUCAAAAUCAAUGACUUCUGCUUUGCUUUCAUUGCUAGAUUACUUCAAAUUGUGAUUUUUAUUACAUGGUAGUCACAAUGAAGGCCCUUUAAAUAGGGUGGAAAGUUACGGUCUACAUAUUUCAAACAGAAGUACAAAUGAAUAAAUACAGACAUAAUGCAGAUUAGUAGGGCAGUGACGCUACCUGUUGCCUGUAGUCUACCUUGUAAACUAUCCUUUUAGGCAUACGCACACAGUCAGAUUACAUAGAAUCAUAGAACUAGAAGAGACCCUGAGGAUCAUCUAGACCAACCCCCUGCAACGCAGGAAUGUGCAGCUGUCCCGGACAGGGAUUGAACCUGCAACUUUGGAGUUAUCAGCGCCAAGCUCUAGCCUAGUGAGCUAUCCAGGCUGCAAUCCAAGACACACUUACUAAAGAGUAAAUGUUGCUGAACACAGUAAACAUCUUAGUAAACAUCUGUAAGAUUGUGAUGAAAAUGUACAAGUGCAAAAAAUAAUCUGGAAAUAAAUAAAUAAAUAAAUAAUAAAAUAAAAUAAAACAAAACAAAACAAAACAAAAUAAAAUACUUUACCACCCCCCAUCCAGCACACACAAAGAAGCUGCCAGUCUGCACACACCUAUAUGCCACAAGAGUGAGUCUGGCAAACUGUUCAUAUUCAGGAGGAGAUGUUAUCUGCCUCAGUUGUGGGAGAGAAUAGCUGAGCCAUACAGCUGAGCAACAGUGUGGAAUGAGGCCAAGGAUGGGGAACCUGUGGCCCUCUUGAUGAUGUUGCGACUACAACUUGCAUCAUUCCUGACCAUCAGGGGUUGGAAUCCAGUUUCUCCACCUCUGGCACAGGUGCACAAGCGAUGAAUGAAAAUGGCGAGUAAGCAGUUUAAAGGUCAGGUGCUAAUUUGGCAAGAUGAGCGGCCAUCUGCCUUCAUUCUCCAGGUAAACCAGGGGAGAACUGGCACACACAGCCCUUCCCAAAAACGGCUUACUGGCAGGAAAGGCUUUCGAACUGCCCAUCUCUGAAUAUAUGUACUCUGGGUUUCUACUCGGUUUGGGAGCUUUCCAUAUUUGCUUAUAUGCUGGGUGGCAAAAGAGAAAGCUAUCCACAAGGGCGUUUCUUGAGACUGGUAUAAAGUUAAUCAACGCUGGAUGCAGGCUCAGAACAUCACUUCUUCUGAACUUUCUCUAAUACACACAGCUGCACUCCCCAGAGCCACUACUCUAACCAGUAAGACGCCACCUUAAAAAAGAAGCAAAAUGUGGUCGAGACUUCCCCUGCUUCAUUGUCUAACUCAGUGGACACUCAGAGAGGUGCAUUAAUAUAUUUGAGAUAUUGAUUUAACCCAAUAGAGCUUGUAGGUUUUUUCUUGUUUAAGUCCUAAAAUAAGAUCUUAAAAAACCACUUUCAAAAGAGUAACAAAGUUACAGUGGCAGGUCAUAGCUGUGGAAGUGUGAGAGAGAUGAAUAAGGCUCUGUGCUGUGCCCAAUGGGAUUUGGUUCCUUUUUUUAAAAAAGCAAGUUUCUAGCCUUGAAAGUCAUAGAAAAUAAAUAUUGAAAACCUGAUCCGAAUUUACUAAAAGCACAUAUGUCCCAGAGAUACAGGAUUCUAAGACAAGAAGGGCCAGAAUUCUGCAGUUUAGAUAAAUCCUUAGAGAUGUGAGCAGUCAGAUUUAUUGUUUGCAUUCAAUUUUCUUCAGAAUCAGACGUUGCUCAGCAGCGCGCCCACAAUUCCACUCGCCCCAAGUGCUGAAGCCGUUUUUCUGCGAUUGCAACAUACUUAACCUGGUUUCUCCUACAACGGUGGCUUUCAGUCUGUUUCCCAGGAAACCCUGGGGAUCCUUAAACCCUACGGGGCAUUCGUCAGCGGGAAAACCAGCAGCAGCACACAUGCUGAAAGACAGCUUGCCCAGCACUAACGACUGUCCCCUGCGAUGCACAACCGUGGGGGUAGAAUUGGCUGCGCAUGUUCAGCAGUGCUGUCUCUGCUCACGCAGAGCAAUAAUGAGAUCCGACAGGUCUGGCUGACAGCGCCCCUUGCUCACUUUGCACUGUAGAAACGUGCCCCAGGAGCAUCUGAAAUGCAUGGGAGCUCCUCAACGCGCAAGGUGCAAAAGAGUUGUCUGAAAGGGGUUUAAAUCCCGGCUUUGGAAUGAGUUGCAGCGAAGAAAAACAAAGCAAAACCCAGAGGCAGAGCAGAACUCUGCAGUCUGCACAGAGUCUUGGCAAGAAAGUUUGUGUGUGUGUGUGUGUGUAUCAGAGUUAAGUGCAAACCAGGAGACCUUCUGCUGCAGAACAAGGCAAGAGCAUACGGCUUGUAGCAGCAGGGGAUUGUUCCGUUCCAUGAGAGUGGGGAAAGGCCAAGGUCCUGGCUCAGCGUAGCCAAGCUCGUGUCUCCAACACAGCCGCAGGCACGCAAGACACACUCUGUUUCCUGCAAAGCUGCCUCCAGCAUUUCUCAUUUAUGUUUCGGCCCACAGCCAGCCAAGACUAGGUUAUUUUAAACAGACAUCUUUCCAGUAAUGGUCCAACUGGGGGAUGCCCUGGAUUCGCUCCCUUCUCUAUUAGCUCUCUAUCCAAGUAGAUGCUGUGCAUAGAAGGGCAGAUGCGUCAUGCACAUGGUGUGGGGGAAAGGAUGGGGGUCCCUAGCCAGCCAACUAGACCAGCAGCUCUCGGUGAGCCUGGUGCGAAGCUUGUAAAACAUCCACCCGCGCACUGGAGCCACGGGCCUGAAACCUCUUUAACCAAGGAGUGCAACGCAACAGCUGGGAAACAUUACAGUGGAAAAUGAUGCUAAAGACCCAUGGAAAGUCUCCAGCUCUUCCCCGCCAAAAACACAUUAAUAGGCUGCAGUGGUGCCUCCUGGGAGCUCAACUGCAGACAUGUAGGGGAGCCAGGGAGCAGCCGUUCCUCAGAAAGAUUGGUGUAAUCUCACCAACGUGUUUCAGCAUGAACAUGCACCUGCCAACAUUUGGAAAUCCAAAGCAUC
rnacentral:lncRNA from 1 species